rnacentral:rRNA from 1 species
UACGGGGGAUGCAAGCGUUAUCCGGAUUUAUUGGGUUUAAAGGGUGCGUAGGCGGUCUGGUAAGUCAGCGGUGAAAUUUCCGAGCUCAACUUGGAACGUGCCGUUGAUACUGUCGGACUAGAAUGCGGAUGCCGUGGGAGGAAUGUGUGGUGUAGCGGUGAAAUGCAUAGAUAUCACACAGAACACCGAUUGCGAAGGCAUCUCACGAAUCCGCGAUUGACGCUGAGGCACGAAAGCGUGGGGAUCAAACAGGAUUA